ACCCGAACCUUCUGCCUCGUCAGGGGAUUGGCUCCGGAGACAGAUGACACUUGUUCAGAGGUUAUUUUCAAAGCAGAGCCUCCUGAUUGCCCUCCUUCGGAGGUCCUGUGCUUCAGAAAUUGUGGUUUUUGAUCCGCGGAGAAACCCUGAACUCUGCUGUUGCUCCACUUCAUGUGGCUUUUCCAUCUGGCAGGGACCGAGCACCACCCCUUCCUCCCUUCCCAGCCCCACCUCUUUGGUUUCCCCUCCAGUCUCUGGUCCUGUCUCUCCGCAUGUUCUCACUCCACACUUCCCCGGAUCUGUGUUGGCUUCCUGCAGUAAGAAUGCCAGAAGCAGCUGAGCGUGGAGCCACCUCAGUAGAAAGAUGCUUUCACUCGCCUCUUUGUACUUGAAAUGCUGCCUCCUGCUCCAUCGCCCUUAAAUCUGCCAGGUGCUACCUCUCAGGUUCCCUUCUUGUAUCCUGAGACACACUUAUUAAAUUUUCAUCUGUAACUCA